ensembl:lncRNA
UAUUAUUUGAUUUUGGCAUGCUGACCAAUUCAAAUUAUAACUACAUAUGAAUAUUAUAUUAAAAUAUGUUUCUGCCAAAAAUGUUUUAAUGAUACAUUUCCAAGUAUGAGCUGCUGCUAUAUCUUGUAUGUCUUAACCCAUAUUUAGUCAGAAAAUAAGUGUUUAAUUAUUUUCAACUGCUGCUGCAAUUCUGCUAAAGCUGGUCUCUGAAGGUUAAAAAUUGUUUAGAUUUUUUUUUUUUUUUUUUUUUUGGAUAAGACAAAUAUACUGAUUAAGAAAAUUAUUAUUAUUAUUUUGCAGUUUGACAUGCUGUGCCGUUGCUCAUUUAAAAUUAGAAAAGAAAAGUCUAAAAGUAGAUCAGAUGUUUUUGGUUUGUAAACAGCCGAGAGACUCAGUAUUACUGGGGGGACUCCUCUCUUGUGUCAUCAGUUGGAAUGUUAAAGUUUUGUGGUAGAGGGUCUGUCUGUCACUUUGGCUUAGAUGAGUAUGGUGGGUGUCUCUCUCUCACUCUCACUCUCACUCUCUCCCUCAGUCUCUCUUUCUCUCUCUUUCCAUUCUCACUAAGUCGCCGCGCCCAUUGAUCUUGUGAAAAUGACAAAAUGGGGGGAUAAUAGGAGUAGACGGCCAGCAUGCUCCUCUGUCCCUUCUCUCUUACUGCCUGCAUCUUCAGCACCACUGCCAACAGCUGUGGGCCACGGGGCAUAACAAGCAGCAGGUCAGACGGAGGCUGAAAGUGGUUGCUGAUGGUCAACACGGUAUCGUAAGGAAAAAAAGUGCAACAUAAUCAGCAGUCAGAGAGAUGGAAAAGGAGAGAGAUGUUGUGAACAGUGUUGAUUUUGUUUUGGCAGAUAUGAACCUACACAGCAGGCCAUCAAGCAAAAGUUGCUGCCUCCUCCCAAUGCACAAUGGAGAGAAGAACGAAUCCCAAACAACGAGCGUAAGCAAAUCCCACCUAUCAUGUGCUGCACUGUUUACAAACUAUCAGAUCAGCAUAUCAGCAGGUAUGUACACAACAUGUUCAUUCAAGCUUUGUAAGCAAAUGCAUUCUGGGACACAGAAUUCAUUAAUUCACUUCUCCGUGCGGCUUCUAUAAGCGCAACCUUGGUGUGAUGAGAAACACAGAUGAAAAAACACCUUGUCCCUUUGCUGUAGAUCAGCGAUGGGAGAUAAUUAGUCUCCAUAGCUGGGCUGCUGUGACUGGCUACACAUGUUCCAGCUGUCACAGGUGUAUUCCUGGAGACUGAGGCAAUGACAGCCAUGACGGGACCAUCUGGGCCUGUUCCUAUCACGGGAGGAUGCCUUGCCAAUGACAGUCUCCAUUCUGCUUGAGAAGGAGGCACUGAGUAUGUGUGUGUGUAUUUGUGUGUGUACGCAUGUUGAUUGACUUUACAUGUGUCCCACAGGACCCCAUUUUAAGGUAUUCCAGGCUUUCUUUGUGGAUCAAACACUGUACUGAUCUCUGUGGGGCAGCAAUCAUGCAGGCUGCUGAUUGUGUGUCAAUGUGUAAAUAUGUUUUGGUUCACAUUCAAACCCAAGGUAUGUGCAUGGGCUGUAUGUCUGUGUGCAGGUGUUUGUGUUUACUUUAAUCUCAAAUCUUUUGACAUUUUCACUCAGUUAUGGGUUAUCCAAAUCUGUACACUUUGAAUAUACCAUUUAGUUUCAUUCCCAACAACAUUGAACAGUUGCAAGGUGUUAAAACCUGUUAUACUUCACCCCAAAGUGGAACUUUGAUGUUAAUUUACUCACCUUUAGGCACUGGAGAUGUACGUGACUUACUUUCCUCAGUAGAACAUUAACAUUGAUUUUUAGCUGAAUUCAUGGCCCUUGGUGAUUCAUAAACUGGCACCAUUGUUGUUUACAACAGAGGGAGGCUGCAUGUAAACAACAAUGGCGUCAAUUCACACUCAAUUUACUCUGCAUGAGUGUUCAUCAUGUGACAGAGGGCUCGAGCUCCAAAACCCUUUGCAUGAAGCUGUGGAUUACAGGUAACAUUUUUUUCAGAUUGUUUUGCUUCAUAAGACCUCAAUAUAUCAUCUGCAACUGUGUGUUUAAUUUUAUGUUUUCUGUACCUGCUUUUUUUUUUGACUCUCAAA